AAAAAAAAUAAGCAGCAUAGAUAGAUGAUCCGUCCGGAGAGAGAUUCAUUCCCAAAUAGGUCAACCUUUUAAACUGCCUGCUGAAUCCAUGAGCAGGCCAGAGACAACCUGGCGAACUGAAACAUCUUAGUAGCCAGAGGAAAAGAAAGCAAAAGCGAUUCCCGUAGUAGCGGCGAGCG
rnacentral:ncRNA from 1 species